CGGAACAUAGCGCAAUGGUAGAGCGCACGGAUUAUAUCCGGGUGGUUGUAGGUUCGAGUCCUACUGUUCCCA
rnacentral:tRNA from 1 species